UGGGCAUCUAUUGUCCUUUCUUUUCAAUGUUCCUGAGGUUUCAGCCCUUCCAAAAUAACAUGCUGAGAAACGAAUGGGUGGAAUGGUGUCAGCGCUUGGCAUGGACCGUCUCAUUAAACCCAGUAAGCAGCAUAUACCAAGGGUGUUGCCCCUGCUCUUUGCAGAUGAGAACACAGAACAGGGAGGCUGAGCCUGGACCUUGAUUGGACAGCUUCCUACUCUCUCUGUGCGAUGCUGAAAGAACAAAACCUCCCAAGGAAGAGAGAAAGCUCUGUACUCCACCCAUUGCAGCCUCUCUCGCCAAACUAGUCGCCCCUGCAUGGAACAUCCAUCAUCUAUGUCCUUCAAAGAGGCAGGAGACUGUCUUAUGAAAAGCAGCUGAUAAAGGAAUGGUUUAACCAGAGUUGGAGACUCUGCUGCUCAGAGGCACCUAGGAGCUGACGCUGCUUCAGGACUGGCAGGGGCAUUUACCCAACACACAGAGAUUUCAUAUGAGAAUGUUAACAACCAUGCUUGAAGCUUAAGCACAGCUGACCUUUGAGAGUCACCUCCUACUCUUGCCGGCUGUAAACAGUAAUUUGCUGCGAUUAUGAACCUUGUGCACAGUCAAAACAAAUACGUUACCUUCCGCAUGACCUUCUUAGAGUAAGGAGGCCUUUUAUGACCUAUUUUUCUUUAACCACCCUAUGAUCCUCUCCAAUGUGUCUGAGACACCAUCUCCUACAAUCUCAUUCCCAUUAGAGGGGACAAAAAAAAAUGACAAAAAUGUCCCUUACAAACACAAUGCAUACAGCCAGGUAGAUGAUGCCCCAGGUAAAGGCACUUGCCGCCAAGCCCUGUGGCAUGAGCGAGUUUGAUCGCCCAGAAUCACACAUGGUCAGAGAGAACCAGUUCCUGCAGAUUGUUCCCUGACCUUCUCAAGUGUACCGUGACAGACGUAUACCCCAAUAAAUAAAAACAAUUAUGAAUGAAACCCUGUGAACAAUGACUUAAGAAACCAC